GCUCCCUGGGUGACGAGCGGCGGACGGGUGAGUAAUGUCUGGGAAACUGCCUGAUGGAGGGGGAUAACUACUGGAAACGGUAGCUAAUACCGCAUAACGUCGCAAGACCAAAGAGGGGGACCUUCGGGCCUCUUGCCAUCAGAUGUGCCCAGAUGGGAUUAGCUAGUAGGUGGGGUAAUGGCUCACCUAGGCGACGAUCCCUAGCUGGUCUGAGAGGAUGACCAGCCACACUGGAACUGAGACACGGUCCAGACUCCUACGGGAGGCAGCAGUGGGGAAUAUUGCACAAUGGGCGCAAGCCUGAUGCAGCCAUGCCGCGUGUGUGAAGAAGGCCUUCGGGUUGUAAAGCACUUUCAGCGAGGAGGAAGGUGGUGAACUUAAUACGUUCAUCAAUUGACGUUACUCGCAGAAGAAGCACCGGCUAACUCCGUGCCAGCAGCCGCGGUAAUACGGAGGGUGCAAGCGUUAAUCGGAAUUACUGGGCGUAAAGCGCACGCAGGCGGUUUGUUAAGUCAGAUGUGAAAUCCCCGGGCUCAACCUGGGAACUGCAUUUGAAACUGGCAAGCUAGAGUCUCGUAGAGGGGGGUAGAAUUCCAGGUGUAGCGGUGAAAUGCGUAGAGAUCUGGAGGAAUACCGGUGGCGAAGGCGGCCCCCUGGACGAAGACUGACGCUCAGGUGCGAAAGCGUGGGGAGCAAACAGGAUUAGAUACCCUGGUAGUCCACGCUGUAAACGAUGUCGAUUUGGAGGUUGUGCCCUUGAGGCGUGGCUUCCGGAGCUAACGCGUUAAAUCGACCGCCUGGGGAGUACGGCCGCAAGGUUAAAACUCAAAUGAAUUGACGGGGGCCCGCACAAGCGGUGGAGCAUGUGGUUUAAUUCGAUGCAACGCGAAGAACCUUACCUACUCUUGACAUCCAGAGAACUUUCCAGAGAUGGAUUGGUGCCUUCGGGAACUCUGAAACAGGUGCUGCAUGGCUGUCGUCAGCUCGUGUUGUGAAAUGUUGGGUUAAGUCCCGCAACGAGCGCAACCCUUAUCCUUUGUUGCCGGCGGUUCGGCCGGGAACUCAAAGGAAACUGCCAGUGAUAACUGGGAGGAAGGUGG
rnacentral:rRNA from 1 species